UUUCUCUCUCUCUAAACCCUAACCCUCCCAAUCCCUCUCUUCUUCUUCUUCUUCUUCUUCACUCAUCCCACUUCCGCCAUCUACAUUCCCCUUACCAGUCUGCUUUUAAUGUAUGCUACUCACCUCUCCCCUCUCUCUUCUUUUUGUUUUUGGUUGUAGUUUCUUCUACUUUAAUGUUGUUAUGAAGUAGUACUUGUAGUAGAGUUUUGUUAGUUUCUUCUUGUUUUUCUUUUGCAUUUUGUUUUGAGACUGGUUGGUGAAGGGGUUGUGUGUUUAUUGUGGUGGAGAGGUGUAUGUUGGUAGGUGUUGAAUGAAGUAGUGUGGGGUGUGAUGGUGUAGUAGUAUAUCUGAUUUGGGAGGAUUUCGAUGUAUCCAUGCAGGCUAUAUGUGCUAGGAUAGUGCCUCGCCCACAAGGUGUUUGAGAAAUUGCCUUAAUAGAGUUAUAAGGGCUAAUGUGACACGGUUGUGGUGAAGUCUGAGUAACCACCCAUAGUCACACAUUUCACACACUCGUUAAUAGGCG
rnacentral:lncRNA from 1 species